UAUAAAACGAUUGCUUUCUGGAUGAUGGAUAAGGAUUUGUACACAUUUGUGGUGAAGUUUACCUGAACUUUAUAGGUAACGAAUUCGGUCGAUGAUAAGUUGUUGAAAUGAUUUUGAUCGUUCAAUGCCCAUAUCGAAGAACGUUUCCAUUGGUCAGAAUGCCUACCAGCGUAUGAUAGCUGCAAACAUGAGGACAACAAGGUUAUCGCUUUCGAAUGGAACAAUCAUUUAUUAUUCGUGUUCAAGUUCCAUUACAGUAAAAGUUUCGUCGAUUAUCGCAUUGUCGUUGAUUUAGCCGGAAAAUGCAAAAUAGCGCUCGGCACUGACGACAAGGAGUAAGAAGGAUUUGAUUGGAGUGAUAAUAAUGCAGAGCAUUAUAUAUUCUGGUAGAAUAUCAGGGAGGAGAAAUUAUAUGUAAAUUUAUAUUAUAUCCCGAGUUGCAUUAAUUUUGGCACCGCAAUAAAGCUAUCUGCAACUGCUGUCUUGUUCAAA